UACGGAGGGUGCAAGCGUUACUCGGAAUCACUGGGCGUAAAGGGCGCGUAGGCGGGUUGUCAAGUUCUGAGUGAAAUCCAACGGCUCAACCGUUGAACUGCUUGGAAACUGGCAGCCUAGAGUGAGGGAGAGGCAGAUGGAAUUGGUGGUGUAGGGGUAAAUCCGUAGAGAUCACCAGGAAUACCCAUUGCGAAGGCGAUCUGCUGGAACUCAACUGACGCUGAGGCGCGAAAGCGUGGGGAGCAAACAGG
rnacentral:rRNA from 1 species